AGAGUUUGAUCCUGGCUCAGUAUGAACGCUGGCGGCGUGCUUAACACAUGCAAGUCGAACGGGAAUGCCGCGCUGAUGCGAUUUCGGUCAAAUCAUGUGGCAUUCGAGUGGCGGACGGGUGAGUAACGCGUGGGUAACCUGCCUUACACAGGGGGAUAACACCUGGAAACAGGUGCUAAUACCGCAUAAGCGCACAGGGCCGCAUGGCCCGGUGUGAAAAACUCCGGUGGUGUAAGAUGGACCCGCGUCUGAUUAGCUUGUUGGCGGGGUAGGGGCCCACCAAGGCGACGAUCAGUAGCCGGCCUGAGAGGGCGGCCGGCCACAUUGGGACUGAGACACGGCCCAGACUCCUGCGGGAGGCAGCAGUGGGGAAUAUUGCGCAAUGGGGGAAACCCUGAUGCAGCGACGCCGCGUGAGCGAUGAAGUAUCUCGGUAUGUAAAGCUCUAUCAGCAGGGAAGAAAGUGACAGUACCUGACUAAGAAGCCCCCGGCUAACUACGUGCCAGCAGCCGCGGUAAUACGUAGGGGGCAAGCGUUAUCCGGAUUCACUGGGCGCAAAGGGAGCGCAGGCGGCACGGCAAGUCUGGUGUGAAAACCCGGGGCUCAACCCCGGGACUGCAUUGGAAACUGCCGGGCUGGAGUGUCGGAGGGGUAAGCGGAAUUCCUAGUGUAGCGGUGAAAUGCGUAGAUAUUAGGAGGAACACCAGUGGCGAAGGCGGCUUACUGGACGAUGACUGACGCUGAGGCUCGAAAGCGUGGGGAGCAAACAGGAUUAGAUACCCUGGUAGUCCACGCCGUAAACGAUGA
rnacentral:rRNA from 1 species